rnacentral:tRNA from 1 species
GCCAUUAAAAAUCAACGGUAAACACCGGAUUGAAAAUCCGCGUGUCACUGGUUCGAUUCCGGUCCUGGGCACCA